rnacentral:rRNA from 1 species
UUAAAGGUACCCGUACCGCAAACCGACACAGGUGGGUGAGGAGAGUAUCCUAAGGCCAGCGAGAGAACUGUUGUUAAGGAACUCGGCAAAAUGACCCCGUAACGUAGGGAUAAGGGGUGCCACCAUCAGGUGGCCGCAGAGAAUAGGCCCAAGCGACUGUUUACCAAAAACAUAGGUUUCUGCUAAGUCGCAAGACGAUGUAUAGGAGCUGACGCCUGCCCGGUGCUGGAA